GGCCAUGUGGCCCAAUGGCAAGGCGCUUGACUACGAUUCGAAAUCAAGAGAUUCCAGGUUCGACCCCUGGCAUGGUCA